rnacentral:rRNA from 1 species
AUUGAACGCUGGCGGAAUGCUUUACACAUGCAAGUCGAACGGCAGCACGGGGCAACCUGGUGGCGAGUGGCGAACGGGUGAGUAAUACAUCGGAACGUGCCCAAUCGUGGGGGAUAACGUAGCGAAAGUUACGCUAAUACCGCAUACGAUCUACGGAUGAAAGCGGCGGACCGCAAGGCGUCGCGCGAUGAGAUGAACCGAUGUCCGAUUAGCUAGUUGGCGGGGUAAAGGCCCACCAAGGCGACGAUCGGUAGCUGAUCUGAGAGGAUGAUCAGCCACACUGGAACUGAGACACGGUCCAGACUCCUACGGGAGGCAGCAGUGGGGAAUAUUGGACAAUGGGCGCAAGCCUGAUCCAGCCAUGCCGCGUGGGUGAAGAAGGCCUC